GGAACAUGAAAACCUGACCUUUACCUUCUUUCUUCCACCCACCCUCUGGGGCCUGAAUGGUGCAAUCAAGUGAUCAAUCACAGGUGUGUUUGCAAUUUCGAUUGAAACUAACACAUUUUGAGGUUCAUAUCUCUACAGAUUGAAGAUGCUUACAAGAUGAGUAUUCUUCUCUUGGUCCACUCGUACAAAAUACGCUGUUAAUAGUAAACACUUGAAACCACUGAUAAAUAAACCAAGAUCAAACACAACUUUCCCAUCGAAUUCUUAUGAGUCAGCUAACCGCACAAUUAUACUGAAUGUGCUUGAAAAAA